CCGUGGCCGCGCCUCCGCCGCCCCGGGCGCUGCCGGCCGCGCGCCCCGGCAGGCCGGGGGCGGGAGGGCAGAGGGCGCCACCCUGUUUACAGCCUUAGCUCCCGGACGGAGACCCCGCCUGGUAACGGUCUCCCGGGAGCGGACCCUGGAGUGAGCACCACCCGCGGCCCUGCGUGGAAGGGGCCCAGCUCCAGGCCCGUUCGGAAUAAAACCGUCGCCACGGCUCUAGGGUCGAGCCCGCACGAGUCUCCGCUCUUCCAGCGCCCACCGCCCACGACUGUAUCGUGUCAGCCCCCGUCACGAGUCUGCUACGCACUUCGCUCCCACCUUUCAGCUCCGGCGCUUCCGCAGACCACCCUCACGUGGCCGCUCCCCCCUGCCAGGGCACUCCCCGGCAAAGGCUGCACUAAGGGGUCCCGGCCUGCUCGCCCCUCGUGGGAUGUAACCCCUCUCGGACCACCCCACCUACAGACUCCGCCCGGGGCCGAGGGCGGGCGGGGCGCGGGAACCACGAGCUGUCAGAAGCCUAGUUUUCCACAUGACGAAGCUCCUUCACUCUUAAACAUCCCCACUCACCCUCAGCCUAGUUUCAAGCUGAAUCACGCUUAAAACGAGAGGAGGGGAGUGUUAAGUUUUCUUCCUAAUUAGCAAAAAAAAAAAAAAGACCCAGCUCUACUCAUCCACUAGCUUUAGGCUCCCCACAUCGUCCCACCAAAUACAGACUUAAUAGAAAUGCCCACCGCACACCUGCUACGUAACCUGCUCUCUGGAAACCUGGUGACCCAUCCAGCCUGGGCCUGGGGUGGGACGAGAGCGAUACCAUCCGGUACCCUAAAGUAAGGGAAUGAGAGGGACAGGCAUCCCCCCACCGGGAGCGCUGUCCGCCUGUUUCCCCAGCUCCAGUGCAAUCCAAGGCAUCCUUCGUCCAUCCAGGCGAAAAGAGGGAGGCAGCCAAAGGCUGGAGUGCCCGCGGUGUUUUUCCCUUUGAGAACCCAGACGCGGCGUCCUCGAGCGAGACGCAAGGGGGGAAAUGAUGCACAUGUAUAUUUGUGGAGCAUAUUCUUCUAGAAUUUCCCUUUGAUCAUCACGAGGAGCGACGGCGGCCCCGGAGACAGGUGCAGUGCUGGCCGAGGCAGCCGGCUAAAAGUUGCUCCCUUCGGGUGGCGGCAGAUCCCCGGCCGGGCCUGAGGACCCCGGCUCCCUGCCCCCCGGUGUCGCCCCCUUCUCCGCCCGGCUGCUGCGUGCGGCUCCGCAGCAGGGGAGGUGGCGUAGUUUCUCUUCCUCCCACCUCUUCUCACUCACUUGUUUCCGUAGCCGUGGGCUCCCUAAUGCUUUCCUCUCCACAAUGUUGUUUCAUUAUAUCAUGUCCAUCAUGUGACACCGGAGAGGCCUCUCUAUGGAAACUUAAAGGGGCUCCCACGUGACUGCAGCCGCAACGGCAGCAGCGGCGGGACUGGCGGCGGCUGCGCCCCGUACCACCCACCGAGAGCCCCUCGCGGCGCCGAGCCGGGAGCCGCAGCAUCCGGGAGCCGCGGCGUCGGUGCGUGCGUGGGGCCUGCGCUCCAUACAGAGCGCCCAGAGCAGAAGGCGCGUCCUCGAGUCCUUAAGUCACUGAGCCCACGCUCUGCUAACGUGACAUUUCGUGGCUCCUACUUUAUUUUCCCCAAGAGCAAUGAGUUUUCUAUCAAGUCUGAUUAAUUUUUACAAAGUUAAAAAGAAAAACUGGAUGCGUUCCUCUGCGAGUUCCGCCAGCUCUUGCGUAGAGCAGAAAUGACAAAACAAUAACCACAGAAAUAGCAUCAGGCAUUUGAUACAUAAUUACCAUCACCACCAGCUUUAAAGCUUUCUGGAAUCACAUUCCUCCGGUAACUGUUGAUGAUGCUUGCAGGAGGCAAAAUGCAAUGCAGUUUUUCUAUUCCGCAGCUAUAUUAGGGAUUUGUUGCUGACAACAGUAAAAAGUUGUUUGUGUCAGGAAGUGAGGUACGAAGAUACGACCUAGAAGGUACAGACAAAACCAAAGUGGCAGUUUUUGCUUUACUUUUCUGACCACAUUCUAUAAAAUGGUGAGAAACAGCUGGUUUGCUAUAAAAUGCAUAGAAAUAUGUUUGGUGGAAAAAUAGAGAAACACAUUUUUUCCCUUAAUCAUACCAUACAUGCUAGACACUAUACAUCAUAUCUAUUCAUAUAUAUGUGCAUAUAGAGAGAAAUAAAAGCAUGUGCAUUUUUGCGUUA